rnacentral:rRNA from 1 species
GAUGAGCCCGCGUCGGAUUAGCUAGUUGGUGGGGUAAUGGCCUACCAAGGCGACGAUCCGUAGCUGGUCUAAGAGGAUGAUCAGCCACAUUGGGACUGAGACACGGCCCAAACUCCUACGGGAGGCAGCAGUGGGGAAUAUUGGACAAUGGGCGCAAGCCUGAUCCAGCCAUGCCGCGUGAGUGAUGAAGGCCCUAGGGUUGUAAAGCUCUUUCAGUGGGGACGAUAAUGACGGUACCCACAGAAGAAGCCCCGGCUAACUUCGUGCCAGCAGCCGCGGUAAUACGAAGGGGGCUAGCGUUGUUCGGAAUUACUGGGCGUAAAGCGCACGUAGGCGGAUAUUUAAGUCAGGGGUGAAAUCCCGGGGCUCAACCCCGGAACUGCCUUUGAUACUGGAUGUCUUGAGUCCGGAAGAGGUGAGUGGAAUUGCGAGUGUAGAGGUGAAAUUCGUAGAUAUUCGCAGGAACACCAGUGGCGAAGGCGGCUCACUGGUCCGGUACUGACGCUGAGGUGCGAAAGCGUGGGGAGCAAUCAGGAUUAGAUACCCUGGUAGUCCACGCC